AUUGAACGCUGGCGGAAUGCUUUACACAUGCAAGUCGAACGGUAGAGGGGGCAACCCCUCGAGAGUGGCGAACGGGUGAGUAAUAUAUCGGAACGUGCCCAGUCGUGGGGAUAACGUAGCGAAAGUUACACUAAUACCGCAUACGAUCUAAGGAUGAAAGCGGGGGAUCGCAAGACCUCGCGCGAUUGGAGCGGCCGAUAUCAGAUUAGGUAGUUGGUGGGGUAAAGGCUCACCAAGCCAACGAUCUGUAGCUGGUCUGAGAGGACGACCAGCCACACUGGAACUGAGACACGGUCCAGACUCCUACGGGAGGCAGCAGUGGGGAAUUUUGGACAAUGGACGCAAGUCUGAUCCAGCCAUUCCGCGUACAGGAUGAAGGCCCUCGGGUUGUAAACUGCUUUUGUACGGAACGAAAAGGUCUCUCUUAAUACGGGGGGCUCAUGACGGUACCGUAAGAAUAAGCACCGGCUAACUACGUGCCAGCAGCCGCGGUAAAAC
rnacentral:rRNA from 1 species